CGACUGCUAAUACCCGAUGUGCCGCAAGGUGAAACUUAUUUAGCCUGGAGAAGAGCUUGCGUCUGAUUAGCUAGUUGGUGGGGUAAAAGCCUACCAAGGCGACGAUCAGUAGCUGGUCUGAGAGGAUGAGCAGCCACACUGGGACUGAGACACGGCCCAGACUCCUACGGGAGGCAGCAGUGGGGAAUUUUCCGCAAUGGGCGAAAGCCUGACGGAGCAACGCCGCGUGAGGGAGGAAGGUCUUUGGAUUGUAAACCUCUUUUCUCAAGGAAGAAGUUCUGACGGUACUUGAGGAAUCAGCCUCGGCUAACUCCGUGCCAGCAGCCGCGGUAAUACGGGGGAGGCAAGCGUUAUCCGGAAUUAUUGGGCGUAAAGCGUCCGCAGGUGGUCAGCCAAGUCUGCCGUCAAAUCAGGUUGCUUAACGACCUAAAGGCGGUGGAAACUGGCAGACUAGAGAGCAGUAGGGGUAGCAGGAAUUCCCAGUGUAGCGGUGAAAUGCGUAGAGAUUGGGAAGAACAUCGGUGGCGAAAGCGUGCUACUGGGCUGUAUCUGACACUCAGGGACGAAAGCUAGGGUAGCGAAAGGGAUUAGAUACCCCUGUAGUCCUAGCCGUAAACGAUGGAUACUAGGCGUGGCUUGUAUCGACCCGAGCCGUGCCGAAGCUAACGCG
rnacentral:rRNA from 1 species